rnacentral:rRNA from 1 species
UACGGAGGAUCCGAGCGUUAUCCGGAAUCAUUGGGUUUAAAGGGUCCGUAGGCGGUUUUGUAAGUCAGUGGUGAAAUCCGGCAGCUCAACUGUCGAACUGCCAUUGAUACUGCAGGACUUGAAUUACUGUGAAGUAACUAGAAUAUGUAGUGUAGCGGUGAAAUGCUUAGAUAUUACAUGGAAUACCAAUUGCGAAGGCAGGUUACUAACAUUAUAUUGACGCUGAUGGACGAAAGCGUGGGGAGCGAACAGGAUUAGAUACCCUGGUAGUCCACGCCGUAAACGAUGGAUACUAGCUGUUUGGUAGUAAUACUGAGUGGCUAAGCGAAAGUGAUAAGUAUCCCACCUGGGGAGUACGGGCGCAAGCCUGAA